rnacentral:misc_RNA from 1 species
UAGAGCAGGGCUCAAAGUCAAUUGUACAAUCCCUGAUUCUCUUAUUUGAUUUCACAACUCCAUUGUCUGCAUCAAAAUCUGGCCUCUCAAUGGAAAUAAUGUUCAUAAAUUGUUGGUCAUCAACAUCUUCUUUUCUGGUGCAAAGAUUCUUCCCAGCAACAAAAAGAGGGGAAAAGUAAAAAGAAAGGCAAAAAAUGUAAUCUGCAUGGCUAAUAGAGAAUAGCAGGUUGAGAUCACAAGCAAUAUUAUUCUAGAUGAAGUUAUAGGAUUCUUCAAAAUGUAAAAAUUUAUGAAGGAUUUUGAACCUAAUAUCUAAGCAUUUAGCAACUCUGAGACACAUUAUAUUACAGCAAAAAGAUUCUAAGUCUGAAAAGUAAAGAGGCCUGAAUGAUUUAUAGAGCUAAAUGAAAUCACAACUUAGGGUCAUCCACUGAAAUACGAGAAAAAUAAACAAAAAAUAAAAGAAAAAAGCAUUCAAAAUAAAGCAAGAAUGUAAAGGAAAAGAAAUUCUAGAUCCAGACACCCAUUGAAGCAAACCUUGGGUAAAAACACUGCAACCAUAAAUAGAUUUAGUCCAGCUUGCUUCCAAAAAAAAUAUGUAAUAAGAUUUAACUCCAUCUUUGUGUUUUAGAUGGGUCACAAUGGUGAUCCAUGCAGUACAAAGCGUUUGAUGUUCCUUCAUUUUGAUGCUAAAAUUGCCUGCAUAAGGCAUGGAGAGAUUGUUGAAGGUGACUCAAGAUCUGCAGCACUAGCAAGUAGGAGAGGACUAACGCAUCAGGGUUCUUUGUAUGUGCGUCCUGGACCCAAAUAAGUUUCCAGUUUCCACUUGCCUAUGUGAACUGCCCUGGUGCCACACUAGAUGCCACCUCAUCAUAUUUUGGAACAAGAAAUAAUUAGAUACACCUGAAACAAUACUCUUUAACUUGUAUAAAUGUGGACUCCACCUCCCAUGAUUCGUGGUGGGAUCCACAUGUGUGUGAGUGUAAAAAGCGCUAAAUUUUUCUAUACAGGGGUUAUCUAAUAUUCUCUCAUUUUGAACACAUUGGAUGGCCCACCUUCAACACGAUGAUGCAAUAACAAAUAAAAUGAAUGAAGUUCACAUAGCAUGAUAGAAAUUAGUGAAAAGUACAAUAACUAGUCAUGAAAUUCUCAACAUUAGAGCAUGAACCAUGCAUCUCUGAAGUGAUCCCUAUCUCACGAACACAUGCACAGACAAUAUAGCUCUAUUGAAGCUAGAUUUUACCAUUUGCCCUUGCAUCAUUAUAAAUUAGUACAAGCAGUCAAACAAAAGGGGCAUCAGCUAUUUAGCUUUAAUUUUCAUGCUUGACCAACUUUAGAGGGGGGAAAACAAUAAAGCUUUGAAGAAUCAAGAACUAGCUCUUAUUUUGAAGUAGAACAAUCACACCAUUUUGUCCAAAAUUUUCCAUAAGCCAAAUAUGGCAGUAGAGAAUAUACUGACUAGGGGAUUACCAUCAGAUUGUCUGAAAUUCACGAACUUCAAAAUUGUAAUGACACUAUGGAUCAAUCUUAAGCUGUCUGUUUAACAUCAUUUCCUGCUCAACUUUCUUUUGUGCCUCCCUCCUCUCCUUACGUCUGGCAUCCCUGGCAGCAGCAUCAGCCUGGACUUUCUCUAUUAUAGUAUUGAAACCAGGAAUUGUCCUCUCCAAUUUGUUGUAAACUUGGAUGCUGAGAGUGUAGAAAAUCCGGAAUAUUCUCUUGACAUCCUUGUUCCAAUGCCUGAUGUAUGGAGGACCUGUUGUGUAGGUGCCAAGAGGUUCACGGUACCACUUUCCGCCAAAUGUUAUUUUAUCCAUUGCUUGCUCAACACUUAGAACCUCCCAAGGCCUUAACCCAGGGAUAAUUUUAGCCAAUUGGAGCCUGAGAUCUUUUGGAAUGUAUUUGUUAGGCAUAUGGUCAGCUUCCAAAACAUUAGUAAGCUCAGAACCACUUGCCCAAAGGAAUAAGGCAUGGCUGGGAAUUCUAACUCCUGGCCAUACACCAUCAUUAGCUUCCAAAACAGCUAAGUCACGUCUUUUGCUCUCUAUAGCCUCUUGUUGCAACUGCUUAUAGGUUUUCUUCUCAUGUCCCUUGAGAGGAACCCAAGGAGGAAUUCCUUUCUGGAGUUUGUGUAGAAAAGCUGUUGCUGCUGCAGCAAGUCUAACUUCCCAAGUGGCAAUUGCGCGUUCCAUGCCAUAAAUCAUGUGUAUGGGUGCCCAUUCAUCCAUGUCAUCACCCCAUAUGAAAGUGUCCUUAUCAAUUAUACCAGCACCCCAUGCAGUUUUAAGUUGUAUUAGCUCCAUUGGUCCUCGUGUCCGGCCCAAGCGAUCCUUGUAGUAAAACCCUCCACUUUUCAUGAUAAAGUCAUAGUAUCGCUUCUCCAGCCGCUUGUAGCCAAUAGCUUGAGCAACAUCAAUUGGUCGGCUAGAUGGGUAGGGCCUCUGUCUAAACCCCCAAAGCCCAAAAAAGAACUGCCUUGCAAAAUCCCAAAACUUAUCGUCACUCUCUUGCUUCGUAUGUAUCGCCUUUCUCGGCAUAGGCCGUCCGUCCGGCCCAAUGACGUGAGGCACUGCUUGCCACAUCUUCCUGUCCUCCCACCGGUAGGGAAGCUGGUUGGCUUUCAGCUCCAUUUCGUUCAUCUUAUCGGCAAUUUCCUCAGCUCGGGCCAAAAACUUAACCACCGGAUUGGACGUAAACUCCUCCCACCAUUUCUCAUUUUCUUUGAUUUCUUCUUCAGUUGGGUUUUCUUUUUUCUCUAAAAAUGGGUGUUCGUUGAGGAUCUUCUCAACUUCAGGAGCGUGACGGUAGUCGGGUUGGUUUUCGUCCUCCCAGAAGUACUGGUCCAGCAUUUGCUGCCAGUAACCCGGCUGUUUGGACUCUGGUUCGGGUUUCUUGGGUUUGUUAAAUGGAUUUGACACGCCAAUAGAAGCGAAGUUAGUGGUGUGACAGGAUUUAGUGGAUAGAGAGCGGAUAAACGGAAGAAGGUUGAUAGGAGGAAGUGGGUUCGGGGGCUUAUUGAACCAGUUGUCGAAGAAAUUGAAAUUGAUAGAUGCCAUUUGUACAAGAUUGAAAGAUUAGGGUACAAGGUUUUGGUCCUGGCUAAGAACAACAGAACCUGGAUGUUGAAGACAUACGGAGAAGAUAGAGCGAGUGUGUGCGAAGACUGCAGAAGUUAGUAACUGGUCAGUCAGGGCCUUUAAAUGG